rnacentral:rRNA from 1 species
GACGUAGGAUGCAAGCGUUGUCCGGAAUUAUUGGGCGUAAAGAGUUCGUAGGCGGCAUAUCAAGUCUGGUGUUAAAGACUGGGGCUCAACCCCAGAAGGGCACUGGAUACUGAUAAGCUAGAGUGCAGAAGAGGCAAGGGGAAUUCACAGUGUAGCGGUGAAAUGCGUAGAUAUUGGGAGGAACACCAGUGGCGUAAGCGCCUUGCUGGGCUGUUACUGACGCUGAGGAACGAAAGCCAGGGGAGCAAAUGGGAUUAGAUACCCCAGUAGGCCUGGCUGUAAACGAUGGAUACUAGGUGUGGCGGGUAUCGACCCCUGCAGUGCCGCAGCUAACGCGUUAAGUAUCCCGCCUGGGGAGUACGCACGCAAGUGUGAA